CUCCAUGGUGGUGCAGUUGGUAGCGCUGUUGCCUUGCAGCCAGAAGGUCCUGGGUUUGACUCCCGACCGGGGGU